AAUCAACGCUGGCGGCGUGCCUCAGACAUGCAAGUCGAACGCGAAAGUCCCCUUCGGGGGACAAGUAGAGUGGCGCACGGGUGAGUAACACGUAGGUAAUCUACCUUUGGAUGGGGAAUAACAACCGGAAACGGUUGCUAAUACCGCAUAAUGCAGCGGCACCUAAUGGUGACAGUUGUUAAAGCGGGGGAUUGAAAGACCUCGCGUCUGAAGAGGAGCCUGCGGCGGAUUAGCUUGUUGGAGGGUAACGGCCUACCAAGGCGACGAUCCGUAGCCGGCCUGAGAGGGCGGUCGGCCACACUGACACUGACAUACGGGUCAGACUCCUACGGGAGGCAGCAGUCGGGAAUUUUGGGCAAUGGGCGAAAGCCUGACCCAGCAACGCCGCGUGAAGGAUGAAAUCCCUC
rnacentral:rRNA from 1 species